GUCUUGCCUGAAGCGAGAAUGCAAACCUUCAGUGUCCAUGGGGGUCAUGGGAGUUGGACUAGGGUUUCGCUCGUUGGAAUUUGAGAAGUUGAUGAAAAGUGAACUAGGGUUUUCUUCAUGGGUGUUUAAAGGGGGUAUGAAAAGCGAAUUAAGGUUUUGUUCUUGGGCGUUUGAGAUCGUGAUGAAAUUUGAACUAGGCUUGUAUUCUUGUGCAAUUGGGGUGGCCAUAAAAAUUGCAUUAGGGUUUUGUACAUUGACAUUACCUCUUGAUAGCUUCAUGCUUGGCAUUGCACAGCGUCUAUUCUGGACUCUUGCAUCGCUAAUGUCCCAAUUUCCAGGAAACCCUGAAAACUCAUCCUCGAAAUCAGCUCCGCUGCCACUUGGAACCACAACGUUGUGAGAAAGAUCGAAAAUCAAAGAAGAUUUUGGUGCGCUUGUAAGCCCCAAAAAUUUGUCAAUGAUGCUUACAGAAUUCAUU
rnacentral:misc_RNA from 1 species